UACGAAGGGGGCUAGCGUUGUUCGGAAUCACUGGGCGUAAAGCGCGCGCAGGCGGUUCUUCAAGUCAGUGGUGAAAGCCCGGAGCUCAACUCCGGAAUUGCCAUUGAAACUGUAGAACUUGAGGAUGAGAGAGGUGAGUGGAAUUCCCAGUGUAGAGGUGAAAUUCGUAGAUAUUGGGAAGAACACCGGUGGCGAAGGCGGCUCACUGGCUCAUUCCUGACGCUCAGGCGCGACAGCGUGGGGAUCAAACAGG
rnacentral:rRNA from 1 species